CCGCUNGAAAAUUAAAGAAGAUGGCGGUAUUUUAGUCUAUUCAGAGGAACCUGUCCUAUAAUCGAUGAUCCNCGAUUUAUUAUACUUAUUUUAUAAGUUUGCAUAUCGCCGUAGAUUGAAUGUCCUUUAAGGGAUUUAAACAUUCAAGAGGUUUUUAUUUGUGAAAUUAAAUCAGGUCAAGAUGUAGCUAAUAAAUAAGAAGAGAUGGGUUACAAUAAAUUUAUUUAUAACGGAUUAAUAUAUGAAAUUUAUUAUAAAGGUGGAUUUGAGGGUAAU
rnacentral:rRNA from 1 species